rfam:Apaloderma vittatum contig26109, whole genome shotgun sequence.
GGCCUGUUAGCUCAGUCAGUUGAGCGUGGCGCUAACUAUGUCAAUGUCGCGGGUUCGACUCCUGUUCGGUCCC